CCUACGGGUGGCAGCAGUGAGGAAUAUUGGUCAAUGGGCGCGAGCCUGAACCAGCCAAGUAGCGUGAAGGAUGACUGCCCUACGGGUUGUAAACUUCUUUUAUAAAGGAAUAAAGUGAGGCACGUGUGCCUUUUUGUAUGUACUUUAUGAAUAAGGAUCGGCUAACUCCGUGCCAGCAGCCGCGGUAAUACGGAGGAUCCGAGCGUUAUCCGGAUUUAUUGGGUUUAAAGGGAGCGUAGAUGGGUUGUUAAGUCAGUUGUGAAAGGUUGCGGCUCAACCGUAACAUUGCAGUUGAUACUGGCAGCCUGGAGUACAGUUGAGGUAGGCGGAAUUCGUGGUGUAGCGGUGAAAUGCUUAGAUAUCACGAAGAACUCCGAUUGCGAAGGCAGCGUACUAAACUGCCACUGACAUUGAUGCUCGAAAGUGUGGGUAUCAAACAGGAUUAGAUACCCGGGUAGUC
rnacentral:rRNA from 1 species